rnacentral:rRNA from 1 species
GACGAACGCUGGCGGCGUGCUUAACACAUGCAAGUCGAACGGAAAGGCCCUGCUUUUGUGGGGUGCUCGAGUGGCGAACGGGUGAGUAACACGUGAGUAACCUGCCCUUGACUUUGGGAUAACUUCAGGAAACUGGGGCUAAUACCGGAUAGGAGCUCCUGCUGCAUUGUGGGGGUUGGAAAGUUUCGGCGGUUGGGGAUGGACUCGCGGCUUAUCAGCUUGUUGGUGGGGUAGUGGCUUACCAAGGCUGUGACGGGUCGCCGGCCUGAGAGGGUGACCGGCCACAUUGGGACUGAGAUACGGACCAGACUCGUACGGGAGGCAGCAGUGGGGAAUCUUGCACAAUGGGCGGAAGCCGGAUGCAGCAACGCCGCGUGCGGGAUGACGGCCUUCGGGUUGUAAACCGCUUUCGCCUGUGACGAAGCGUGAGUGACGGUAAUGGGUAAAGAAGCACCGGCUAACUACGUG